CGGCAACAGCUCAAAUUUGAAAUCUGGCCCUCGGGUCCGAAUUGUAAUUUGUAGAGGAUGCUUUUGGUGAGGUACCUUCCGAGUUCCCUGGAACGGGACGCCAUAGAGGGUGAGAAUCCCGUAUGUGACUGGGUGCUUUUGCCUAUGUAAAGCUCUUUCGAC
rnacentral:rRNA from 1 species